AGUGCGCUCGAGAGAAUUGCUAGCUUGCUAAUAAUUCUCUAGUGGCGCACGGGUGAGUAACACGUGAGUAACCUGCCCCCGAGAGCGGGAUAGCCCUGGGAAACUGGGAUUAAUACCGCAUAGUAUCGAAAGAUUAAAGCAGCAAUGCGCUUGGGGAUGGGCUCGCGGCCUAUUAGUUAGUUGGUGAGGUAACGGCUCACCAAGGCGAUGACGGGUAGCCGGUCUGAGAGGAUGUCCGGCCACACUGGAACUGAGACACGGUCCAGACACCUACGGGUGGCAGCAGUCGAGAAUCAUUCACAAUGGGGGAAACCCUGAUGGUGCGACGCCGCGUGGGGGAAUGAAGGUCUUCGGAUUGUAAACCCCUGUCAUGUGGGAGCAAAUUAAAAAGAUAGUACCACAAGAGGAAGAGACGGCUAACUCUGUGCCAGCAGCCGCGGUAAUACAGAGGUCUCAAGCGUUGUUCGGAAUCACUGGGCGUAAAGCGUGCGUAGGCUGUUUCGUAAGUCGUGUGUGAAAGGCGCGGGCUCAACCCGCGGACGGCACAUGAUACUGCGAGACUAGAGUAAUGGAGGGGGAACCGGAAUUCUCGGUGUAGCAGUGAAAUGCGUAGAUAUCGAGAGGAACACUCGUGGCGAAGGCGGGUUCCUGGACAUUAACUGACGCUGAGGCACGAAGGCCAGGGGAGCGAAAGGGAUUAGAUACCCCUGUAGUCCUGGCAGUAAACGGUGCACGCUUGGUGUGCGGGGAAUCGACCCCCUGCGUGCCGGAGCUAACGCGUUAAGCGUGCCGCCUGGGGAGUACGGUCGCAAGAUUAAAACUCAAAGAAAUUGACGGGGACCCGCACAAGCGGUGGAGUAUGUGGCUUAAUUCGAUGCAACGCGAAGAACCUUACCUGGGCUUGACAUGUAAUGAACAACAUGUGAAAGCAUGCGACUCUUCGGAGGCGUUACACAGGUGCUGCAUGGCCGUCGUCAGCUCGUGUCGUGAGAUGUUUGGUUAAGUCCAGCAACGAGCGCAACCCCUGUUGCCAGUUACCAGCACGUGAAGGUGGGGACUCUGGCGAGACUGCCCAGAUCAACUGGGAGGAAGGUGGGGACGACGUCAGGUCAGUAUGGCCCUUAUGCCCAGGGCUGCACACGUACUACAAUGCCCAGUACAGAGGGGGCCGAAGCCGCGAGGCGGAGGAAAUCCUAAAAACUGGGCCCAGUUCGGACUGUAGGCUGCAACCCGCCUACACGAAGCCGGAAUCGCUAGUAAUGGCGCAUCAGCUACGGCGCCGUGAAUACGUUCCCGGGUCUUGUACACACCGCCCGUCACAUCAUGGAAGCACGGUCAGCACCUAGAAGUAUAUCAAGCCUCAGC
rnacentral:rRNA from 1 species